rnacentral:rRNA from 1 species
UCGGGAAUUUUGGGCAAUGGGCGAAAGCCUGACCCAGCAACAUCGCGUGGAGGAAGAAGUAUCUCGGUAUGUAAACUCCGAAAGUAUGAGAAGAAUAAAUGACGGUAUCAUAUAUAAGCUCCGGCUAACUCCGUGCCAGCAGCCGCGGUAAUACGGAGGGAGCAAGCGUUGUUCGGAUUUACUGGGCGUAAAGGGCGCGUAGGCGGUUAAUUAAGUUAGUUGUUAAAUCUCCGAGCUUAACUCGGAACUGUCAACUAAUACUGAUAAACUAGAGUGCAGAAGAGGCAACCGGAAUUCUUGGUGUAGCGGUGAAAUGCGUAGAUAUCAAGAGGAACACCUGUGGCGAAGGCGGGUUGCUGGGCUGACACUGACGCUGAGGCGCGAAAGCUAGGGUAGCAAA